UACGUAGGGUGCAAGCGUUAAUCGGAAUUACUGGGCGUAAAGCGUUCGCAGGCGGUUGUGCAAGACCGAUGUGAAAUCCCCGGGCUCAACCUGGGAAUGGCAUUGGUGACUGCACGGCUAGAGUGUGUCAGAGGGGGGUAGAAUUCCACGUGUAGCAGUGAAAUGCGUAGAGAUGUGGAGGAAUACCGAUGGCGAAGGCAGCCCCCUGGGAUAACACUGACGCUCAUGCACGAAAGCGUGGGGAGCAAACAGG
rnacentral:rRNA from 1 species